rnacentral:rRNA from 1 species
UACGAAGGGGGCUAGCGUUGCUCGGAUUUACUGGGCGUAAAGCGCGUGUAGGCGGGCGACUAAGUCGGAUGUGAAAUCCCUGGGCUCAACCUAGGAACUGCAUUCGAAACUGGUCACCUAGAGUGAUGGGGAGGAAAGCGGAAUUCCCGGUGUAGAGGUGAAAUUCGUAGAUAUCGGGAGGAACACCAGUGGCGAAGGCGGCUUUCUGGACAUUUACUGACGCUGAGACGCGAAAGCGUGGGGAGCAAACAGG